rnacentral:rRNA from 1 species
AUUGAACGCUGGCGGCAGGCCUAACACAUGCAAGUCGAGCGAGCGGCGGAAGGGUGAGUAAUGUCUGGGAAACUGCCUGAUGGAGGGGGAUAACUACUGGAAACGGUAGCUAAUACCGCAUACCAUCAGAUGUGCCCAGAUGGGAUUAGCUAGUAGGUGGGGUAACGGCUCACCUAGGCGACGAUCCCUAGCUGGUCUGAGGGGAUGACCAGCAACACUGGAACUGGGCUACGGUCCAUCCUCCUACGGGAGGAAGCAGUGGGGAAUAUUGCACAAAGGGCGCAAGCCUGAUGCAGCCAUGCCGGGUGUGGGAAGAAGGCCUUCGGGUUGUAAAGCACUUUCAGCGGGGAGGCGUUACCAGCAGAAGAAGCACCGGCUAACUCCGGGCCAGCAGCCGCGGUAAUAC